rnacentral:rRNA from 1 species
AAACGUAGGAGGCGAGCGUUAUCCGGAUUUACUGGGUGUAAAGCGCGUGCAGGCGGUUAGCUAAGUUGGGUGUGAAAGCUCCCGGCUCAACUUGGAGAGGUCGCUCAAGACUGGCUGGCUCGAGGAUGGUAGGGGAAGGUGGAAUUCCGGGUGUAGUGGUGAAAUGCGUAGAUAUCCGGAGGAACACCAGUGGCGAAGGCGGCCUUCUGGACCAUCACUGACGCUCAGACGCGAAAGCUAGGGUAGCAAACGGGAUUAGAGACCCCGGUAGUCCUAGCCGUAAACGAUGUGAACUUGGCGCUGGUCGGGUAAAACUGAUCCGUGCCGCAGCAAACGCGAUAAGUUCACCACCUGGGGACUACGGCCGCAAGGUUAAA